AAGUCAUAAUUAGCUGGAAGAAUCUUAGAAAUUACAGAUGGAAAGACUUAUUAAAUCAACUUGUGCAUUCCUUGCCCUGACAACAUGCAUUGUUCCCUGAAGUACAUUUUAUAAGAGACUUUUCCCCCUUGAAGAUGGAAGAGAACUGACUGAGGCUACUGAAGCAAAAUGCCACUCAUCUCCUGUGACCCUAAGCCUUUGUCAUCCUAAUGCUGAGAUGAGUUUCUAACCAGAACAUGCCAAGGAGAGGGACUCAGAUAACUCUGCCACUCCACUGGCUACAGCUGAAUCCCAAACACCAUCUCAGAUGAAAUGGUAUCAGACUUUAAUAGCAGCAGCAACUCCUCCAGCUCAUCUCAACUUUUCUUUCCCCCAGAGAGAUGUUACCAACUAAGAUGGUCAAAGCUAAAGGAAACAAGAACUGUUAAAAUUAAAGCCUUUCAAAUAAUAUUCUUGGCCUUUUAUGGUCCAUCAACUCUCCCAGAGGUCACAUCACUGACUUAAUCCUAUCAAAAUUUAUCUUCUCCUCUACUCAUUUUUACUGAUCCAAACUUCAGCUAUCAUUCCAAUUGUCAUAAACAAACAGAUCCGGGUGAAGGUCUCUUUUACCUGGAAAGGGUUAACAAGCUCAGUAACCUGAAAAACACCUGA